GAUUGAGCGAUCAGUCCGCAGCGUAGUCCGCUUUCGGCCCACAGUCGACCCGGUUGGGCUCCAGCUUUUGCUAACCCGGAACAGGAUAAGCAGUAGAUAAAGAAGAGAUAAACGGAUAAAUUACAGCCCGAUCUGAUGCCGUUCCUAUCAAGCACCUCUGCCCCUCUGACAUUUUACAAACCCGUCGAUGAGAUCGGCGUGAUGCUGAAAGACCAGGAAAGAGGAUGACAUAGACGGACGGUGAACAUUAUCGCACCUUACCUUUUGCUUCAUUUAUAGGAUGUCUUACAGCCGGGGAGAUAUUGAAUAAUUCACCCGGGUAACAGUCGACCCAACACAACACAACCGUUCGCCCUUUCAUUUGUGCAUUUUCUCUACCACGUGUUCCGUUCAUUGUCUGUCUCGAGAUUAGGACGGAAGGUGGUUUUGUCAUUCGAGGUGAUUGUGAAAUGAAGACGGAGUGGACAUCCAUCCCGGAGCAGUCGCGCCGUCUUCUAGAACGUCAAACAAUUUCACGCCGACUGUUUGGAAGUCAGCCGUACGGACCCGCUACGCUGCCGCCAACGGCGCUCGUUCCGUUUAAAAGCCCAAAGUCAUCGAUCGUCACAGUCCCUCGAGUCCAAUUUCACACGUCCUGAUUUAGUCCAUGGGUUGACUUUUAUUGCUAUUGUCAUUCCCGCGCCCACUUUCACAGUCACACACGGCCCCACCUGAUUAAUAAUCAUUUCCAGUGAAAUAUCGAUUCAUCUAUCUAUUAGCGCGACAACGGAUGGGCUUUAAUGGCCCGACGUCAUCAGAGAAGAACUGCGGGUUACGUCGGGGGUGCAAAAUCCACUCUUGAGAACGGAUUCAUUGCAUUUCCAAUUAUCGUAACGUGCGAAUUUGCGUUUUGAGCUAAGAGGGCGGUCACGGAACGAGUUACACUCGUGUCUCAAGGCACCAGAGCGAAGCAGCAAAGCAAAAUAUUGAUUAUGGACAGACAACGGACGCAUUGUGAAGUUCGCUCGUCGGUCGCCAUCUCGCCUCUCGCCUCGAUCGCACGUGCACGUCGCGGUCACCCGCAGUCGCUCCAUUUUGACGGGUUCAACCGGCGCGUGCCCGCCGCUGGACGCUUGAUGGAGACUUUUGCGUUUGUUUCCGCGUCAACGGAGGAAAAUGUUAUGCACACUCGCACUUCUUGGCGAUGGCGUAAUUCCCGGCCUACGGAGCGCACCUGGUUACAAGGCUCCCCGAGUACAUUUGUAAAGGAAAUAACGUUUGGUAUAUACAUACGCCGUGCCCACAUUGAAACACGAAAUAUUUACAAAGAAAUACGGUACACAGAAAGAGUUUAACGCUAGCGCUAACGCUAACAGGGCCGGUUAAAAUAAAACUUACCGGUAAAUAUCAGUGUCGAGCUGCUACUCCUCCGCAUCGAGAGGAACCUGAUGAGGCGGCUGGGGCAUCUGAUCCGGAUGCCUCCCGGACGCCUCCCCGGUGAGGUGUUCCGGGCACGUCCCACCGGAAAGAGAGCCCGGGGACGACCCAGGACACGCUGGAGAGACGACGUCUCUCGGCUGGCUCGGGAACGCUUCGGGAUCCCCCCGGAAGAGCUGGAAGAAGUGGCUGGGGAAAGGGAAGUCUGGGUAUCCCCGGUGAAGCCACUUCCCCCACGGAAAAGCGGUAGAAAAUGGAUGGAUGGUAAAUAUCACUUAGACACUUCAGUAACACAGCAGCAACACGCUAGCACAGCGCAAACAGAGCCGGUAAAAGUCACUUGCUCGGCACAUAUAUUCCACCGGUCUCAUUCUUACUUUUUUCCGCGAGUGCUCCCUUGCGGCCGUUAGGAAAAAAUACACAAAUUAGCCGCAUAAACCGCAGGGUUGAAACCAUGUGAAAAAAAGUUGCAGUUUUUAGGCCGGAAAUUACGAUAAUUCUUUCUUUUGUGUCCCACCAAUUUCUGGACAACACGACGUUCAUCUAUGAGCCGCUGUUUUGCUUAGCAACCGAGGUCGCAUGGGCUGAGUAAUGCGCAUCCAACUAAAGUGUCUACUUCCUGCCCAUUUUGGUUCCAGUCUGAGUCAGCCACUUAUCCUUUCGAAGUGGAUGACGAAUUUGGCGAUGAACCGAGACGAUCUGGAGUGGAAAUGCAUUAAGCGGAACAAUCCCGUCGCUGUUCUUGUUCCCAGAAGCCGACUCGUGACGUCGCUCCCGAACUGGAACCUGAACACAAAUUCUCCCCCCGGCACAACAACAACAACAACAAAAAAAAAGACAUUUCAAAGAAAUAGAAGCAGCCCAAGCAUGUACAUUUUUUUUGCCUUAAGGGGACAGAUUUGGACCAGUUUUUCAUUUCCAAAGGACCGAGUGGCUUUUUAGUCAGGCAAUCAUCCUGUUACGUACCUUUGAAGACGUCCGGAGGAGCGCGAGCUAGCGGCGUCUUCGACGAAAUGUUGUUGCGAUCAGUUGUGUCAAUGUCCUUUGAAAUUCAUAAAUAUAUUGCCAAAACACUUCAUGUGUUAGCAGUGCAAUGACCACUUUUAUUCAACAUGAAAAAUAAAGAAAUAGAACAGCUUCAAUAACAUGGAAAAGGAAAUCGACGGCAUGCAACCAAUUUUCAUAGAUAACACUUUAAACGAAGCAAAACUACACGUCACAAUAUUAAGAAAUACAGUAUUUUGUCGAAAAUAACAUUUAUUGCAUCGAAUCACAGAAAUUCACGACGUAAUCCAGUGGAACCUUGGUCUUCAUGAUUAAUUGGCUCCCGAUCCAAUUGUACGAAAAUCAAAGCAAUAUUUUUCAUAGUUAGUAAUGUAAAUCGAAUUAAUCUGUUCCAGACACCCAGUAAUAUCAACCAAAUAUUAAUUUCUGUGGGUGCGCAAUUCCAGAAAAUGAGUCACAUAAGCAAUGUAAUAACAUACAAAAAGCAGGGACAAAAUACAAGAAAAAAAAAGCGGAAUAUUCCGAAAAACUGUAGCAUACGAGAACCGAGGCUCCACUCGACUGGCAUCACAUUCCGACAUCAAAUUCAUUCGGUGUGUCGUCUCUUUGUGACGUGAGAAGUUAAAUCCACAGAAGCGACGCCGGACUGACCGAGUGGUCGACAACGUGCCGCGAAUGAACGUACAUUCAAUACAUAGCUUGGAAAAAGGUCUGACAUGGUCGAUAAUGAUCAUCUUAUAACUUAAAAAAAAAAAAAAAAAAACAGCACAAAUAUUCACUGUCUAGCAGAAUCCUUGCAUUAAUAAAACAACAACAAAAAUCUAACAAUGAGCUGAGUGCACAUUGCAUUUAGUAGAAAUUAAUAAUAUUAAUUAAUAAGCUAACUUACCUUCAUGACCGACCAGUUCCUUCACCACAAAUCAUUCCAGCUAA